AUACAGAGGGUGCGAGCGUUAAUCGGAAUUACUGGGCGUAAAGGGUGCGUAGGCGGCUUGAUAAGUCGGAUGUGAAAGCCCCGGGCUUAACCUGGGAAUUGCAUUCGAUACUGUCAGGCUAGAGUAUGUCAGAGGUUGGCGGAAUUCCUGGUGUAGCGGUGAAAUGCGUAGAUAUCAGGAGGAACACCAGUGGCGAAGGCGGCUAACUGGGACAAUACUGACGCUGAGGCACGAAGGCGUGGGGAGCAACCAGGAUUAGAAACCCUAGUAGUCC
rnacentral:rRNA from 1 species